AGUGAACGCUGGCGGCAGGCCUAAUACAUGCAAGUCGAACGGCAGCACAGCAGAGCUUGCUCUGUGGGUGGCGAGUGGCGGACGGGUGAGGAAUACGUGGGAAUCUGCCCAGUCGUGGGGAUAACGUAGGGAAACUUACGCUAAUACCGCAUGCGCCCUUCGGGGAAAGCCGGGGACCUUCGGGCCUGGCGCGAUUGGAUGAGCCCACGUCGGAUUAGCUAGUUGGCGGGGUAAAGGCCCACCAAGGCGACGAUCCGUAGCUGGUCUGAGAGGAUGAUCAGCCACACUGGAACUGAGACACGGUCCAGACUCCUACGGGAGGCAGCAGUAGGGAAUAUUGGACAAUGGGCGCAAGCCUGAUCCAGCCAUGCCGCGUGAGUGAAGAAGGCCCUCGGGUUGUAAAGCUCUUUUGUCCGGAAGGAAAGCGCCGGGUUAAUACCCUGGUGUCCUGACGGUACCGGAAGAAUAAGCACCGGCUAACUUCGUGCCAGCAGCCGCGGUAA
rnacentral:rRNA from 1 species